rnacentral:rRNA from 1 species
GCGUGGUGGACGGCUCGGUUCCCGCGUCGAUGAAGGACGUAGCGAAACACGAAAGGUGUUGCGAAUUGCAAGAUUUUGCGAGUCAAUGACUAUCCGAAUGCAUCGCCGCUCUCUUGAUGCCUUCGGGCGACGGAGGGCGCGUCGGCG